UCAGUGGUGGGACCGAGGGUUGCAAGGCGCCCGAGGCUGAGCUUCAGUGUCGCGGGGCGGGGCUAGCUUUGCCGUGACGUCUAGGGGCGGGACAAGAGGCCCCGCAGCUGUGAUGGACAGGCAAGGGGCGGGUUUAACGGUCGAAGGGCGGCAGAGGCUCAAAAUGGCGCCCGGGGCUGUGAUGGACAGGAAAAGGGUAGUGCCCGGGAUUCACGGUGACUUCAGGGGACGUGGCCGCCGAUCGCUGAGUGAGACGAACUGAGUCACGGCGUCCGCGGCUGAGAUUGACAGCCGCGGGGGCGGGGCCGCGGUUCAGCCCCUUGCGCCGCUGCUGCCACCGCCAGGCAGGGAAACGUGGCGCCUGAGGCCGGGCCUGUCAGUCUCUGAGGUUGUCACCACCGCCGUGAAGCCCGAUGGAGAAGAAUAUCAGCUCAAAGGUCUAGAAUAUAUUGUCAGUGAAAUCAUGAAUGAAAAACUUUAAACUAAAGAAGUUGCCUACUAAGAUUCUACCUUACAUACUUAUUGGCUUCUCAAAAGAAACUGAAAGUUUUUCUAUGCACAUGCUUCCAAAACUAACAGACUCACAAAGAAGGCUUUGAUAUUCACAGAUCCCAACAGGUGAUCAAAGGUUUACUUGUGAAGAGCCAGACAGACUGCUGCCAGCAAAGAACAUUCAUGCUACCCUAGGCUGCAUCUCAAUGUUGGUUAUUUCUGCAGCUAAAUUUCCUCUGAGAUGAAUUGCCCUUCAAUACUCUUCUCCUCUAGACAUCUCUGCCUUACUUUCUUCCCAAACUAACAAUGUUUAUUAAGGCUCUGUAUUUGUAAAUAAUAACUCUGUAUGUGAAAUUUGCAAUUGAGAGUGAAAAUUAUGGAAACAGAAUACCAAAAGCAAUAAUCACAAAUUCAUAGCUAAUUAAAAUUUUCCCUUAUAUUACCUAUGUAUUGACUAUAUUCAUGAUAUCAUGAUUACAAGUAAAUUAAACUGUUUAAUGUGGCCAAAAAUUAUUUUAUUCAUAAUAAAUUAAACAUAGAAGUUAAUAUGAAAAGACAGAAAUAUUUUUAAUAAAUGUAUCCACACAGAUAAAAUAAAUAUAAAAUAAUAUUAUGAGUCUGAAUCAUUCUUUGGAAUAGGUAACAUAAGGAUAUAUAUUUAAAUUUUAAUGUCUAGUUUUAAGGACAUGAUGUAUGUAAACGUACAAUUCUGGUCACAAUGGUUCCUCAUUGUACCCUAUCCCAGUUCUAGUAUACGACAUAGUCUCUAUCCAUUAAGGAUCUAAAUUAUUUUAAAAGAGUACUCCUACAGAAGUUGAUUUCAUUCCUAAUGGACAAUGUUCUCACUCAUAUAAGAAUAUCACAUCUGGGCUUUUCAAUAUGUUAUAUACAUAAUAGAUUUUUUCAUAUAGACAACAUAUGAAUCACUUUAAAAUUGUUUUUUUCCUUUCAUGCCUCCUUAAAAUCAAAUAAAUAUACAAAGACUGAAAGAUCUAG